GGGGGUGCACUGGCUUCGACGGGGGUUGCGAAAUCGCUUGGCGCAUGCCGAGGGGGUAGCUUUCCUCGUUAAUCCAGCUGCAAAACCUCAGACGCCAACGACGACGUCUACGCUCUCGCCGCUUAAGGCGUAAGCCCUGAACCCACUUGUGUCUGUGCUCGUGGAUGUAGGGUCAUCAUCACAGAAUCGGCCGUGGCGGCGACCCGUCAACCGCGGCUCAACCUAAAGCGGGUGUGUACUGCGGUGUGCCUCGCACGUCGUGUUGCCGCAGGACGAGAACGAACGGCGAGCUAAGCAUGUAGUGCUGGGCAUGGAGCAUCUUCGGACGCGGGUUCGAUUCCCGCCACCUCCACCA
rnacentral:tmRNA from 1 species